UAGGGAAUCUUCGGCAAUGGGGGCAACCCUGACCGAGCAACGCCGCGUGAGUGAAGAAGGUUUUCGGAUCGUAAAGCUCUGUUAUAAGAGAAGAACGUGUGUGAGAGUGGAAAGUUCACACAGUGACGGUAACUUACCAGAAAGGGACGGCUAACUACGUGCCAGCAGCCGCGGUAAUACGUAGGUCCCGAGCGUUGUCCGGAUUUAUUGGGCGUAAAGCGAGCGCAGGCGGUUUAAUAAGUCUGAAGUUAAAGGCAGUGGCUUAACCAUUGUUCGCUUUGGAAACUGUUAAACUUGAGUGCAGAAGGGGAGAGUGGAAUUCCAUGUGUAGCGGUGAAAUGCGUAGAUAUAUGGAGGAACACCGGUGGCGAAAGCGGCUCUCUGGUCUGUAACUGACGCUGAGGCUCGAAAGCGUGGGGAGCAAACAGG
rnacentral:rRNA from 1 species